CAGCAGCCACGGUAAUACAGAGGGUGCGAGCGUUAAUCGGAUUUACUGGGCGUAAAGCGUGCGUAGGUGGUGGUUUAAGUCCGUUGUGAAAGCCCUGGGCUCAACCUGGGAAUUGCAGUGGAUACUGGGUCACUAGAGUGUGGUAGAGGAUAGUGGAAUUUCCGGUGUAGCAGUGAAAUGCGUAGAGAUCGGAAGGAACAUCUGUGGCGAAGGCGACUAUCUGGGCCAACACUGACACUGAGGCACGAAAGCGUGGGGAGCAAACAGGAUUAGAUACCCCCGUAGUCCCUGUCUCUUAUAC
rnacentral:rRNA from 1 species